ACUCCUACGGGAGGCAGCAGUGGGGAAUAUUGCACAAUGGGGGAAACCCUGAUGCAGCCAUGCCGCGUGUGUGAAGAAGGCCUUCGGGUUGUAAAGCACUUUCAGUAGGGAGGAAGGUAGUGUAGUUAACACCUGCACUAUUUGACGUUACCUACAGAAGAAGCACCGGCUAACUCCGUGCCAGCAGCCGCGGUAAUACGGAGGGUGCGAGCGUUAAUCGGAAUUACUGGGCGUAAAGCGCAUGCAGGCGGCCUGUUAAGUCAGAUGUGAAAGCCCGGGGUCUUAACCUCGGAAUUGCAUUUGAAACUGGCAGGCUAGAGUCUUGUAGAGGGGUUAGAAUUUCGAGGUGUAGCGGUGAAAUGCGUAGAGAUCUGAAGGAAUACCAGUGGCGAAGGCGGCCCCUGGACAAAGACUGACGCUCAGAUGCGAAAGCGUGGGAGCAAACGAGGAUUAGAUACCCCGUGGUAGCGACUGA
rnacentral:rRNA from 1 species